rnacentral:sRNA from 1 species
CCCAAAUCCGAACUCUGUGCUAUGUGCGCAAUGUAACCCAGAGAGCAGUAAAGUGGUUUUCAGCUACACAAAAAAAAAUGCUAUACCGCUUGCAAAAUGUUCGACAGCAGCCGAUUGACAGAUGGAUUAGUCUGUGUGAAUUGUAUAAACAGCUAGUCGAGUUUCGUUUAUGAUCAGCAAGAGCGCAGUAUAAAAUCGAAUAUGUGGACAAAUUUUUUACCUAUCGGAAG